rnacentral:misc_RNA from 1 species
AAAAAACAAAUAUGGCCGAAGAGAAAACGAAAGAAGAAAACCUCCAGAAAGAAGUAGAGGUGGCCGAGGAAGUGAAGGAGCCUCCACCCCCUGAUGUGGUGCAGCUAUGUCGUGAAACAUUCCAAAAGUCAGCAGAGUACCUGCACGGUGAACUUGAAGGGACAAUUGAAGACUACAAGCUCUUGGAGACACUUAAUAAAAUCACGAUCACAAAAUAUACCGAUAUGAAAGAAUUUACUGAAAAUAUUAGUAGAGGACUGCAGGAGCUCAAUGAAAAAUGUAAGACUGUUGAAAAAUAAUCUUAGUCUGUAUGAAAGUGUAACAAAUGUACAUGUAACAGGAUGUUUAAUAGAAUCCAAUUUUAUGUGAUGCUGUAUUAAUUUGUUUUAUGUGAUAGUUUAGUUGCAGUAUCACUUAUUUUCAUCCAUGUUCCUACCAGGUAUAUAAAUUGCCCCUCAGAAGAUUUCUUCAUUCUUCAUUGCAAAUAUUUCAAAGUUUCUAGACCUGGUAUUUCUAAUGAUUGGCAGGGGUUUGUUUCAUGUCAAAAUAUUAGGGUUUGAAUUUCAGAAAAGAGAAUCUUUAGAAGUACUAGUAAUAGUUAAUAUUUAUUUUACAUUUAAUUGGGGGGGGGGGGGAUAAGUUUGAAUUCAAUAAUAUACCAACAAAUUUUUUGCCCUCGUGUAGAACAUUGUAGAAGUCAUCAAGGUACCUGUAAUGGUAUGCAGGAUGGAUAUACCUGUACUAAUCAUAGUAAGAAUACUAGUGUCUAUAGUUAUACACAUGUACAUGUAAGUGUACAGGUACUUGUACAUCAUCAAUUUAACAUUGUAUUUGCAGACAGCAAUCUUCAUCCAUUCCUAGAGCAAAUAAACCAGAUUGAUGAAAAUGUGACUGCAUUGGAGCAAGCCGCAUACAAGUUGGACAACUAUUCCAAAAGACUAGAGAGUAAAUUUAAAGCAUUGGAAAAAAGAUGAAGUGGAAGAGCAACUGUACAUGUAUAAUGUUAAUACAACUUUAUAGUGCAAUAUCAUUAUGGAAUACUGAAUUUUUUCAUCUUUACCAAAUUUCUUGUAUUUGUUGUUUUACACAAAUAAAAGUUUAUUU